UACGUAGGUGGCAAGCGUUGUCCGGAUUUACUGGGCGUAAAGGGAGCGUAGGCGGACUUUUAAGUGAGAUGUGAAAUACUCGGGCUCAACCUGAGGGCUGCAUUUCAAACUGGAAGUCUAGAGUGCAGGAGAGGAGAGUGGAAUUCCUAGUGUAGCGGUGAAAUGCGUAGAGAUUAGGAAGAACACCAGUGGCGAAGGCGACUCUCUGGACUGUAACUGACGCUGAGGCUCGAAAGCGUGGGGAGCAAACAGG
rnacentral:rRNA from 1 species